rnacentral:rRNA from 1 species
AUUGAACGCUGGCGGCAGGCCUAACACAUGCAAGUCGAGCGAGUGGCGGACGGGUGAGUAAUGUCUGGGAAACUGCCUGAUGGAGGGGGAUAACUACUGGAAACGGUAGCUAAUACCGCAUACCAUCAGAUGUGCCCAGAUGGGAUUAGCUAGUAGGUGGGGUAACGGCUCACCAAGGCGACGAUCCCUAGCUGGUCUGAGAGGAUGACCAGCCACACUGGAACUGCGACACGGUCCAGACUCCUACGGGAGGCAUCAGUGGGGAAUAUGGCACAAUGGGCGCAAGCCUGAUGCAGCCAUGCCGCGUGUAUGAAGAAGGCCUUCGGGUUGGAAAGUACUUGCAGCGGGGAGGCGUUACCCGCAGAAGAAGCACCGGCUAACUCCGUGCCAGCAGCCGCGGUAAUUC